rnacentral:sRNA from 1 species
CCUAUCGAGCCUUAAAACCACAUACGGUCCUCUACGCUGGCGUUGGGACGACAUAGCUUCACGAGACACCACCCUAACACCGCGGCUCUGCCCCCGGUGCUGUAUAUCUUUUUAAUUCAUCGUUUUGAAUGCGGCCCUGGAGUCUCUCCUCAAAGUUACCGCCAUGUCCUCUAAUGCACAAACUGGGGCCUUAACGGACUCGUCCGGCACCCUGUCUGGAAGCCAAUUGACGAAGCAGCUCCAACAGAAGAUGACCGGAUUGAAGGAGGCAAUAGGACCUGAGACUCCAGCUGCAAGUCGGUCCCCAACGAAAGCCCGCUCUCUUUCUGAGGCACCUUCAAGAACCCCCUCCUCCGUCUCACCGAACCCUUCGAGCAUCCAACGAACUAAAGAUGAUAUAGCGGUUACCGCAGCUCCUGCAACACCCCACAGACCCGAUCGCCUUACACAUGGACUAUCACUGCAAAUGCCCUCGAGAAUGUUUGGUAGCCCGAUCGCAGCAGGGAAUCGAGUCCCUCUCUCUCCGAAGCUGGAUUCUUCGCACAUAUAUGGCUCACCCGCCUCAGUAUUACCGCGGCGAUCCAGGGGAUUGGACUUUUCACGCGCAUGCACGAAUUUACAUCAUUCUACCUUGGCUGAAUCGUCGCCAGACUCCUCCCCGGUCGUUCUUGGUCGUGGAGUAGCUAUACCCAAUCGCCGGAGUAAUACCAACUCGGCGGGAAUGGGUUCUCCGGGCAUGCCCGGGGGCAGCACCUGGCAAUCCAUUGGUAACAGUGAUCGAGCUGUGAUAUCCAGCUCCGUGAGCAGUGUCAACAUGUUCGAAUCCGAUACCACUAGUAGUAGCGACGGGGAUGAGGACGACUCCAUGCAUAUAAUCGAUAGGGAAGAUCCGAUCCUAAUGACCCCACAUCUUGCUCGACCGGGAAAUGCGUUCUCGACACCAUUUUCUCCAAGCACAGCUCAAAGCCCCGGCGGCGAUUGGAUGAGUGGGCUUUCUGCUGCUAAAGCCAGCCUCAUGAGUUUUCAACGUGCCCGACUGCGUGGUGCUAGGAGUAGACACAGCUCAAGUAGCACCAGCGGUAAUAGCUCGAAGCCCAGCCCUGGACCCAUAUCACCACCCGUUUUUAAAAGUAUCGAGAGCGCCGCCACUAGCUAUUUCCCCAGAGAAAUGUCCAUGAGCGAAGUCAAAUCACGGCGGGAAAGCCUAAGUCUAGGCACGAGUGACCUUCAUUUGUCAGACAUGAGCGAUGAUGAUAAUCGACUAGCUCGGUUUGGUAGCCCGUCCAGCAGCGCUCCCUUACCGGGGACAACAAAUAUCGAAAGCGGGCCUCACGGUGUAAUUCGACGUCCUGUAACGAGGAGAGGAAAUUUACUGCCUAAAACGAAGAACUUCGCCCGGAUCCGGGCGGCACUGCUUGAAGAAGUAGCCCCGAUUGAUUUCGAGUGUCAGCGGGAGGCUGAAGUCAUUCGGCAGGUUCGCGAGAGCGAAGGCGGUGAAUUACCCCCGCUCUCACCUUCCUUAACAUCCCCUCUAGACUCGUCGGAUUCCAUUAAUCCCAAUGAUGCAAGGGACAUUGCUACCACCGGGCUCACGGGAGAAGGGUCGUCAUCAAGCAUUUUCACCAGCCAUCCAUCCAGUGGUAUAGGCCGUUUAAGUGCCUUUAAUAACCGAUAUCAAACUCCACCUCCGCCGACAGCCCAACCCACUGGCCCCUUCACUUCCACCUCUACCUCCGAUACAACGAUGCAAACACCCCCAUCUGCAUCCCCGGGCAUCUUGGCAACCCAACACACCAGUAACAACGCCCCGCAACCUUCCGCCGCUGCCGGCCCUUCGCGCAUCGAAGCGGAAGCGUCCCGCACAAACAAAAAACGUAGACACGAUGAGAUGAUCGAUAUGAACGCGUUCAAGCGGCGGGCAGUUUCGCCAGGGAUGUAUGUGCAGAAUUGCCCUGUCGCGGCCUCUCAGCCUUCCUCAUCGGGAUCUUCUGCUUCGUAUUUGAGCAAGAAACUUAACAAGGAACUUAGCAGUCGAGCAGAAGGUGACGCUCAGACGCAGCUGCAGUCGAAAAAUCCCCUGACUUCGACAUCGACACCGACAACUGGAAAGACUGUGAGGGUGACGGAGGGUAGUACUAUGAAGAGGGUUGGGAUGCAGGGGAUGAAAGAGACAAAUGACGGGUUGAUGAAUAUGAGUAUUGAUUGAUCUGCGGUCUCCAGGUGUUGAGAUUCUAUUCUUCUGUGUCGUUACGAUUGUCUUUUCAUCUCAUUUUCUUUUAUUUACUUCAUAUGCGUAUUUAGCGGAGGCGCACUCGGGAUAUUUUUUUUUCUUGUGGCCUACUUUCCAUUAUGUAGCAUUCCUGUUGUUCAACAUAUUUAGCUUCUGGGUUUCUUCGGUUGUGCUUCGUAUCCUUUGCCUGCCAAGACAAAUGAUUUCCUCCUUUUUCUUUUUAUCACUCCACCAUACUCUUAAAUUGAUUUCUUUAGAAUAUACUGCCGCUCUUCAC